rnacentral:rRNA from 1 species
GGGGGACGUUCGGGCUUCUUUCCAUCGGAUGUGCCCAGAUGGGAUUAGCUAGUAGGUGGGGUAACGGCUCACCUAGGCGACGAUCCCUAGCUGGUCUGAGAGGAUGACCAGCCACACUGGAACUGAGACACGGUCCAGACUCCUACGGGAGGCAGCAGUGGGGAAUAUUGCACAAUGGGCGCAAGCCUGAUGCAGCCAUGCCGCGUGUAUGAAGAAGGCCUUCGGGUUGUAAAGUACUUUCAGCGGGGAGGAAGGGAGUAAAGUUAAUACCUUUGCUCAUUGACGUUACCCGCAGAAGAAGCACCGGCUAACUCCGUGCCAGCAGCCGCGGUAAUACGGAGGGUGCAAGCGUUAAUCGGAAUUACUGGGCGUAAAGCGCACGCAGGCCGUUU